rnacentral:rRNA from 1 species
GACGAACGCUGGCGGCGUGCUUAACACAUGCAAGUCGAACGCUGAAGACCUGGCUUUUGUUGGGUUGGAUGAGUGGCGAACGGGUGAGUAACACGUGAGUAACCUGCCCUCUUCUUUGGGAUAACGCCCGGGAACGGGUGCUAAUACUGGAUAUUCACUGAUCUUCGCAUGGGGGUUGGUGGAAAGGUUUGUUCUGGUGGGGGAUGGGCUCGCGGCCUAUCAGCUUGUUGGUGGGGUGAUGGCCUACCAAGGCUUUGACGGGUAGCCGGCCUGAGAGGGUGACCGGUCACAUUGGGACUGAGAUACGGCCCAGACUCCUACGGGAGGCAGCAGUGGGGAAUAUUGCACAAUGGGCGAAAGCCUGAUGCAGCGACGCCGCGUGAGGGAUGGAGGCCUUCGGGUUGUAAACCUCUUUCGCUCAUGGUCAAGCCGCAACUGUGGGUUGUGGUGAGGGUAGUGGGUAAAGAAGCGCCGGCUAACUACGUG